AGUGAACGCUGGCGGUAGGCCUAACACAUGCAAGUCGAACGGCAGCACAGUAAGAUCUUGCUCUUACGGGUGGCGAGUGGCGGACGGGUGAGGAAUACAUCGGAAUCUACUUUUUCGUGGGGGAUAACGGAGGGACACUUACGCUAAUACCUCAUACGACCUACGGGUGAAAGCAGGAGAUCUUCACACCUUUCGCGAUUGAAUGAGCCGAUGUCGGAUUAGCUAGUUGGCGGGGUAACGGCCCACCAAGGCAACGAUCCGUAGCUGAUCUGAGAGGAUGAUCAGCCACACUGGAACUGAGACACGGUCCAGACUCCUACGGGAGGCAGCAGUGGGGAAUAUUGGACAAUGGGCGCAAGCCUGAUCCAGCCAUACCGCGUGGGUGAAGAAGGUCUUCGGGUCGUAAAGCCCUUUUGUUGGGAAAGAAAAGCAGCAUGUGAAACCACCGAUGUUCUGACGGUACCCAAAGAAUAAGCACCGGCUAACUUCGUG
rnacentral:rRNA from 1 species